rnacentral:rRNA from 1 species
AUCCCUGGGCUCAGAGUUGAACGCCUGGGCGGCGUUGCUUAACACCAUGCAAGUCGAAACGAUGAAAGCUAGUUGCUGGCCACCUAGUGGAUUAGUUGGCGCCACGGGUUGAGUUAUUGUUAUUAGCCUAACCCUGCCCCUUUAGAAGGGGGACAACUACUGGAAAACGGUAGCUAUUACCCCAUACUCCUACUUGACAUAAGUAAAUAGGGAAAUGUUUUUCGCUAAAGGAUGGGGCUAUAUGGUAUCAGCUAGUUGGUGAGGUAAGAGCUCACCAAGGCAAUGACGCCUACCUGGUCUGAGAGGAUGAUCAGCCACACUGGAACUGAGACACGGUCCAGACUCCUACGGGAGGCAGCAGUGAGGAAUAUUGCACAAUGGGGGAAACCCUGAUGCAGCAACGCCGCGUGGAGGAUGACGCAUUUCGGUGUGUAAACUCCUUUUAUAUGAGAAGAAUAUGACCGUAUCAUAUGAAUAAGCACCGGCUAACUCCGUGCCAGCAGCCGCGGUAAUACGGAGGGUGCAGCGUUACUCGGAAUCACUGGGCGUAAGGACGCGUANGCGGUUAGAAAGUGGAUGUAAAUCCUAUGCUCACCAUAG